UGUCUGGGUUACUGUAAUAACCCAGACAACAAUAACCCAGAUACUACUUGUCAGUGAGCACUGCACUAAGGUAUGAAGGCGUAACAUGCCCAAAAUAGCUACUAGCUUUCCGGAUCCACGUCAAAAUGUCAUUUUGCCUAUUGAUUUAAUAUCCAACAGAAAAACACAACUGCAGCUGACACCCACGGCAAUCAUGAGCAGCUCCAGGCAGGUACCACCUAAUAAAAGGUUAGUGUCAAUUGUGAUCACUUAUGAUAGUGCAAGAUAAAUAUAGACUAAUAUAUACAUCUAUACAUAUAUGCUUUGAUUUUUGCAUUUGUGAGAUAAUUGUAGAUAUUAUUAAAAUAGUUAGUUCAGCAAAUGUGUUUCCUUAUCUUGAAAGCAGUCUAUGGACAAGGGCAGACUGCAAUCUACACUUUUAUUUCAUUAACUAGCCACUUACAACUAAUGCUAAUAAGUAUUUUAGGACCAAAAAAUAAAAGCUCUCCCUUUACCCCUUUCCGUAUGUUUUAAAUGUCAUGUCCAGAUCAUCUCUUAAAUUGAUUGUCACUCAAUGACUUGGUUUUACAUUAUUUUGCAAUAAUUAUGGCAUGAUUUAAUGGGAUACUAGGCAUUUUGGCAAUGAGGCCCUUUAUCUACUUCCCCAGAGUCAGAUGAACUUGGAGAUAUAGUGUUUAUGUCUCUGUGUCCAUCUAGUAUGAAGGAAGUUAGAGGUUGUUUCGCCAACUGGAAGUCGAUACCCAUGAGAGGUUGACUUGAAAGUAGUGCCAACUGUCAUUUGUUAGCAGUGGCUCGUUAAUUGAAACCAAAUUGUGGAUUACAGUUAGUUCUUAUUCACAUAUUGCAUUCAAGCUAAGAAAACAAACUAUCUAAAAAUGUAAUUACGCUGAACAAUCCCUUUAAGGUGUUCAGAAGUAGUUAACAUUCAGAUUUAUUUCCAGAUUAAAAAGCACUUUUUUAGGUUACUGUGCUGUAGAAUUUAGUAUUUCAUUUGUGUUAAGCUGUUUUUCAAAUUAUUGUAAUAAAGUUAAAUUGUUAAUUACCUAGUGUCGUAGUUGAUCAGAGUUGUUCAAUUGCUUAACUAGUGAAAUUGCACAACUAUAACAAACGAUGCCAAUUUGUGUGCUGAAGAGAACAAAGAAGACAGUGUAAAAUAAAGAAACACAACUUACCUUCUCAUUAUGAGGGGAAAUGGGAUAACAGCUCAAACGGAGUAGGGCUGCUUGAAUUGGGUUUGAACAGCAUUUAAAAUACAAUCAUUACUUACUGUACGUAAUCUUUAUUAAACUUUACAAUACCACUUUUAAGGGAACCAACAACUACAUAUCUGAAACGGAGGAUAAUAAAUGGAGAAAGCUUAAAGUCAUCAGG